rnacentral:rRNA from 1 species
CAGUCGCCGCGGUAACACGUAGGUGGCAAGCGUUGUCCGGAAUUAUUGGGCGUAAAGGGCUCGCAGGCGGUUUCUUAAGUCUGAUGUGAAAGCCCCCGGCUCAACCGGGGAGGGUCAUUGGAAACUGGGAAACUUGAGUGCAGAAGAGGAGAGUGGAAUUCCACGUGUAGCGGUGAAAUGCGUAGAGAUGUGGAGGAACACCAGUGGCGAAGGCGACUCUCUGGUCUGUAACUGACGCUGAGGAGCGAAAGCGUGGGGAGCGAACAGGAUUAGAUACCCGAGUAGUCCCUGUCUCUUAUAC